AAUCCAUGCAUCGGACAUUUCCAAAUUAAAUCUUUAAAUCGUUCCUAAGCUUCAUCUAGCAUUUCAUCCUCAAAUUGUUGAAGAGAUGUGAUGUCAUUUCUAAGCUU
rnacentral:snoRNA from 1 species